GGAAGGAAGCUCACUGUAGAGGUUACAUACUGAGUGCGUCAAUUCUGUGAUGUCACUUCAUUAUUCCCUCCGGGAAGGUCUGAGACAAGAGCCAAUAGCCGCCCUUACAGGGCGUCACUUGAGCGGGUGAGUGAGUCCCCAGCAACCCCACGGUGGAGUGGACCGGCCCGCUGUGUGGAGGAGGCUCUGCAGGAGAGGCGGGGUGGGCUUGUGGUGAGAGGGAGUGGUCGCAGAUUGAGGCUGCUCCCACCUUACACACGGCUCCACCCGGCUGAUGCUGCCUCCUCCCCGGGCCUUGGAAGUGGCUCUCGGCUGGCUGUAUGAGUCCAAUGGCUGAGGUGGGGCAGCUGCACGGGAUGUGUGCGCGCCCCAUAACCCAAUUCAGACCACUGUCCGGAAUUCC
rnacentral:RNase_P_RNA from 13 species